CUUGACUUCCAUAAGAGGUCCAGCCUGCCCAGUGAUACUAUUAAACGGCCGCGGUACCCUGACCGUGCGAAGGUAGCAUAAUAACUUGUUCUUUAAAUGGGGACUAGCAUGAACGGCAUCACGAGGGUCUCACUGUCUCCUUUUUCUAAUCAGUGAAACUGAUCUCCCCGUGAAGAAGCGGGGAUAAAAAUAUAAGACGAGAAGACCCCAUGGAGCUUUAAACCCAAUAGACACCUCUGACUAAUCUAACCCAAAACACUUCUUAAGUUCUGUCUAUUGGUUUUAGGUUGGGGUGACCACGGAGUACAAUAAAUCCUCCAUGACGUACGGGACUUCCCUCUUAUCCUUGAACCACAUUUCUAAGAAUCAACAAAUUGACGUUUGAUGAUCCAAUAUAUUGAUCAACGGACCA
rnacentral:rRNA from 1 species